UCGGGAUGGGCCAGUCGGUCUGCCGUAAGGUAUGUUACUGGCUGGUCUGUCCUUCUUCGCAAAGACUGCGUGUGCCCUUAAUUGUGUGUGCGUAGGAUUUGCGACGUUUACUUUGAAAAAAUUAGAGUGUUCAAAGCAGGCUGACCGCUUGAAUACAUGAGCAUGGAAUAAUGGAAUAGGACUUUGGUUCUAUUUUGUUGGUUUCUUGAACCGAAGUAAUGAUUAAGAGGGACAGUUGGGGGCAUUCGUAUUUCGUUGUCAGAGGUGAAAUUCUUGGAUUUACGAAAGACGAACAACUGCGAAAGCAUUUGCCAAGAAUGUUUUCAUUAAUCAAGAACGAAAGUUAGAGGCUCGAAGACGAUCAGAUACCGUCCUAGUUCUAACCAUAAACGAUGCCGACUAGGGAUCAGCGGGCGUUAUUUUAUGACCCCGUUGGCACCUUAUGGGAAACCAAAGUUUUUGGGUUCCGGGGGAAGUAUGGUUGCAAAGCUGAAACUUAWAGGAAUUGACGGAAGGGCACCACCAGGAGUGGAGCCUGCG
rnacentral:rRNA from 1 species